rnacentral:rRNA from 1 species
UACGUAGGGGGCUAGCGUUGUCCGGAUUUAUUGGGCGUAAAGAGCGUGUAGGCGGCCAGGUAGGUCUGGUGUGAAAACUCGAGGCUUAACCUCGAGAUGUCAUCGGAAACCAUUUGGCUAGAGUCCGGAAGAGGAGAGUGGAAUUCCUGGUGUAGCGGUGAAAUGCGCAGAUAUCAGGAAGAACACCAGUGCGAAGCAGCUCUCUGGGACGGUACUGACGCUGAGAGCGAAAGCGUGGGGAGCGAACAGGG